CUUUCAGAAAGAGAUAUAUCAUAACUGGCCAAAAUGCAGAAAAGGAAUGCCCAGGCUAUGAGCACUGCUCAGUGGGAUAUCUGUAUGGAUAUUCACCCACCCCCACCCCAAGGCUGGGGAACAGCCUGAAGAGAGGGCGGCAGGGCGAUGCAAAGGCAUCCUGGUCGUGACAUGGUCACAGGCACUCGGGAACUCCCUGCAGCUAUAAGAGCAAGCCAACAAGGCAGAAAAGGAUCCAGAACAGGGUGAGCUGUGAGAUGCAGGGACCAAAGCCAUCUAGAGGGAAGGACCACCUGUGGCCUCCGGAGGAGAGGGGGGCGGGGCGAGAAAAGAAAAACAAACCAGCCAGUCAGAGCGACCUGGAGGCCGACUGGAACCGGGCUAGCAACUCAAACCUUCUGCACCAAAUGCCCGAACAAUGGCCCCUAUUUAUGCACAGCUCCAAAGGCUCCUUGCAUCAGAAGGCACCUUCGAGAAUAAACCGGCAGCUAAUUCUCCUGGUAGCAGAAAUCCACUCUCACGGGAAACAAAGCCCUGCUCUGUUACUCAGAAGAAGGAUUAAAUCCAGCGGGAUAAAGGGAAACAGUUCGUUGCCAGGUCACCUCGGCAAGGCUGAGCACGGAAAACCAGAGUGUUCUCAUCUCGCCCCCACUUUAUAAAGUCUUGGGUUGGUGUUCCUUAAAUUUAAAAAAAAAAAAAAAAAAAAAAAA